rnacentral:rRNA from 1 species
GACGAACGCUGGCGGCGUGCCUAAUACAUGCAAGUCGAACGCAGUGGGGACGGGUGAGUAACACGUGGGUAACCUCCCAUCAGAGGGGAUAACACUUGGAAACAGGUGCUAAACCGAUACUGAUGGAUGGACCCGCGGUGCAUUAGCUAGUGGGUGUGGUAACGGCUCACCAAGGCCACGAGUCAUAGCCGACCUUGGAGGUGGAUCGUCCACACUGGUACUGAGACACGGCCCAGACUCCUACGGGAGGCAGCAGUAGGGAAUCUUCGGCAAUGUACUCAAGUCUGACCGAGCAACGCCGCGUGAGUUAAGAAGGUUUUCGGAUCGUAAAACUCUUUUGGUAGAGAAGCGGUAUCUAACCAGAAAGCCACGGCUAACUACGUGCCAGCAGCCGCGGUAAUAC